GGGUGCGAUCAUACCAGCACUAAUGCACCGGAUCCCAUCAGAACUCCGCAGUUAGGGGUGCUUGGGCGAGAGUAGUACUAGGAUGGGUGACCUCCUUGGAAGUCCUCGUGUUGCACCCC
rfam:Corchorus olitorius cultivar O-4 contig16633, whole genome shotgun sequence.